GAUGAACGCUGUUUUUCGUGCCUAAUACAUGCAAGUCGAGCGAACGGACGAGAAGCUUGCUUCUCUGAUGUUAGCGGCGGACGGGUGAGUAACACGUGGAUAACCUACCUAUAAGACUGGGAUAACUUCGGGAAACCGGAGCUAAUACCGGAUAAUAUUUUGAACCGCAUGGUUCAAAAGUGAAAGACGGUCUUGCUGUCACUUAUAGAUGGAUCCGCGCUGCAUUAGCUAGUUGGUAAGGUAACGGCUUACCAAGGCAACGAUGCAUAGCCGACCUGAGAGGGUGAUCGGCCACACUGGAACUGAGACACGGUCCAGACUCCUACGGGAGGCAGCAGUAGGGAAUCUUCCGCAAUGGGCGAAAGCCUGACGGAGCAACGCCGCGUGAGUGAUGAAGGUCUUCGGAUCGUAAAACUCUGUUAUUAGGGAAGAACAUAUGUGUAAGUAACUGUGCACAUCUUGACGGUACCUAAUCAGAAAGCCACGGUUAACUACGUGCCAGCAGCCGCGGUAAUACGUAGGUGGCAAGCGUUAUCCGGAAUUAUUGGGCGUAAAGCGCGCGUAUGCGGUUUUUUAAGUCUGAUGUGAAAGCCCACGGCUCCUUUGUGGAGGGUCAUUGGAAACUGGAAAACUUGAGUGCAGAAGAGGAAAGUGGAAUUCCAUGUGUAGCGGUGAAAUGCGCAGAGAUAUGGAGGAACACCAGUGGCGAAGGCGACUUUCUGGUCUGUAACUGACGCUGAUGUGCGAAAGCGUGGGGAUCAAACAGGAUUAGAUACCCUGGUAGUCCACGCCGUAAACGAUGAGUGCUAAGUGUUAGGGGGUUUCCGCCCCUUAGUGCUGCAGCUAACGCAUUAAGCACUCCGCCUGAGGAGUACGACCGCAAGGUUGAAACUCAAAGGAAUUGACGGGGACCCGCACAAGCGGUGGAGCAUGUGGUUUAAUUCGAAGCAACGCGAAGAACCUUACCAAAUCUUGACAUCCUUUGACAACUCUAGAGAUAGAGCCUUCCCCUUCGGGGGACAAAGUGACAGGUGGUGCAUGGUUGUCGUCAGCUCGUGUCGUGAGAUGUUGGGUUAAGUCCCGCAACGAGCGCAACCCUUAAGCUUAGUUGCCAUCAUUAAGUUGGGCACUCUAAGUUGACUGCCGGUGACAAACCGGAGGAAGGUGGGGAUGACGUCAAAUCAUCAUGCCCCUUAUGAUUUGGGCUACACACGUGCUACAAUGGACAAUACAAAGGGCAGCGAAACCGCGAGGUCAAGCAAAUCCCAUAAAGUUGUUCUCAGUUCGGAUUGUAGUCUGCAACUCGACUACAUGAAGCUGGAAUCGCUAGUAAUCGUAGAUCAGCAUGCUACGGUGAAUACGUUCCCGGGUCU
rnacentral:rRNA from 1 species